AUUGAACGCUGGCGGCAGGCCUAACACAUGCAAGUCAAGCGGUAGCACAGAGAGCUUGCUCUCGGGUGACGAGCGGCGGGCGGGUGAGUAAUGUCUGGGAAACUGCCUGAUGGAGGGGGAUAACUACUGGAAACGGUAGCUAAUACCGCAUAACGUCGCAAGACCAAAGAGGGGGACCUUCGGGCCUCUUGCCAUCAGAUGUGCCCAGAUGGGAUUAGCUAGUAGGUGGGGUAACGGCUCACCUAGGCGCCGAUCCCUAGCUGGUCUGAGAGGAUGACCAGCCACACUGGAACUGAGACACGGUCCAGACUCCUACGGGAGGCAGCAGUGGGGAAUAUUGCACAAUGGGCGGAAGCCUGGUGCAGCCAUGCCGCGUGUAUGAAGAAGGCCUUCGGGUUGUAAAGUACUUUCAGCGGGGAGGAAGGUGUUGAGGUUAAUAACCUCAGCAAUUGACGUUACCCGCAGAAGAAGCACCGGCUAACUCCGUGCCAGCCGCCGCAGUAA
rnacentral:rRNA from 1 species